CGGCGUGCCUAAUACAUGCAAGUCGAACGCAUUGUGGUUGAAAUGAUAUGAAGAACUUGUUCAGAUUUGAUUUUCAACAUUGCAAUGAGUGGCGAACGGGUGAGUAACACGUGGGAAACCUACCUCUUAGCAGGGGAUAACAUUUGGAAACAAUGCUAAUACCGUAUAAUAAUUAAAACCGCAUGGUUUUAGUUUAAAAGAUGGUCUUGCUAUCACUAAGAGAUGGUCCCGCGGUGUAUUAGUUAGUUGGUGAGGUAAUGGCUCACCAAGACAAUGAUACAUAGCCGAGUUGAGAGACUGACCGGCCACAAUGGGACUGAGACACGGCCCAUACUCCUACGGGAGGCAGCAGUAGGGAAUCUUCCACAUUGGACGAAAGUCUGAUGGAGCAACGCCGCGUGUGUGAUGAAGGGUUUCGGCUCGUAAAACACUGUUGUAAGAGAAGAAUGACAUUGAGAGUAACUGUUCAAUGUGUGACGGUAUCUUACCAGAAAGGAACGGCUAAAUACGUG
rnacentral:rRNA from 1 species